rnacentral:tRNA from 1 species
UUCCGAAACCCAAAAUCGAACCAGGGACCUUUAUUUCUUCAGUCUAACGCUCUCCCAACUGAGCUAUUUCGGC